rnacentral:lncRNA from 1 species
UUACAAUCCGUUAGGUAGACACAAAAGUUCUCCAAGUCUCCACCAGAUUAGCUAGACACAGAGUGCUGAUUGGUGCAUAUACAAUCCUCCAGCUAGACAUGAAAGUUUUUCAAGUCAGGACUUGACUCAAGAGCCCAACUGGCUUUGCCUAGGCUCCACCUAGUGGAUCCCUUGGCCGGGUCACGGGCGCAGCUGCCUACCACUGCCGCACCGCACCUGCGCUUCUCAGCCCUUGGGCGGUCAGUGGGACCCGGCGCCACGGAGCAGGGGGCGGUGCCCGUUGCGGAGGCUCGGGCCGCGCGGGAGCCCACCAUGGGGGGGGCUCGGGAAUGGCGGGCUGCAGGCCCCGAGCCCUGCCCCUCUGGGAGGCGGCUGAAACCCGGUGAGAAUUCGAGCGUGGCGCGGGUGGGCCAGCAGUGUUUGGGGACCCGGAGCACUCUCCACAGCUGCUGGUCCAGGUGCUAAGUCCCUCACUGCCCAGCACCUGCAGCGCCGACCGGCCGCUCUUGAGUGCGGGGCCUGCAGAGCCCACGCCCACCCGGAACUCGCGCUGGCCCGUGAGCGCCGUGCCGCAGCCCCGGUUCCCGCCCGCGCCUCUCCCUCCACACUUCGCCGCAAGCAGAGGGAGCCGGCUCCGGCCUCAGCUGGCCCAGAGAGGGGCUCCCUCAGUGCAGUGGCGAGCUGAAGGGCUCCUCAAGGGCGGCUGGAGUGGACGCUGAGGCCGAGGAGACGCCAAGAGCAAACGAGGGCUGCUAGUACAUUGUCACCUCUCACUGGUAACUACAGUUGCUGUCAGUUUAACUGAAAGACAGGACAGAUUCUUAUGACCUGAAACAGCACCUCAACUCUUACCUUGGAUAUUUCUACAUGAAGAAUCUGCUCUGAAACUAUAGCAAACAAUCACAGAGUGUUUGAGUGUGAGUCCAGACUGGUUCGGGAAGACCAAGAAGCAAUGAUGAUGUCUGUUUUUGUCAAAUGUCUGAAAACUAUUUUUAUUUUUCUAAAACUUUGUUCAGAAGUCUCAAUAUUGUAGUGUAUAGAGAUGUACACUAAUUUAGUGAUAUGAAGAUGAAGGGCUUUAAGCCUGUGUUCCUUGCAGGCAUCUCAGUACCUAGGAACUCCAAAGAACAAACUGUUGCUCGUGCAAAAUUAAAUUUCAUAAAACAGCAAAGAAUGGUGCCAGAGUUUAAUUAAUAGGAUAAGGUUAUGAGUCAGACUGUGUACCCCAAAAAAGAUAUGUUGAACUCCUAAGCCCCUGAACCACAGAAUGGGAUCCUAUUCAGAAAUAGGCACAGUGUCCGG